rnacentral:rRNA from 1 species
GAUGAACGCUAGCGAUAGGCUUAACACAUGCAAGUCGAGGGGCAGCACAAGGUAGCUUGCUCUCUGGGUGGCGACCGGCGCCCGGGUGCGUAACGCGUAUGCAACUUGCCCUAUACAGGAGGAUAACCCGUCGAAAGACGGACUAAUACUGCGUAUGCUCACAACUUGGCAUCAAGUGGUGAGGAAAGAAAUUCGGUAUAGGAUAGGCAUGCGUCCCAUUAGCUUGUUGGUGAGGUAACGGCUCACCAAGGCAACGAUGGGUAGGGGAACUGAGAGGUCUAUCCCCCACACUGGUACUGAGACACGGACCAGACUCCUACGGGAGGCAGCAGUGAGGAAUAUUGGUCAAUGGGCGCGAGCCUGAACCAGCCAAGUCGCGUGAAGGAUGACUGUCUUAUGGAUUGUAAACUUCUUUUAUACGGGAAUAACAAGAGUCACGUGUGACUCCCUGCAUGUACCGUAUGAAUAAGCAUCGGCUAACUCCGUG